rnacentral:lncRNA from 1 species
CUCCCUCGCUGAAAGUCUGAAGGGAGCCGGCUUACGUUUCUGCUCCGCUUGCCUAGUGAGUCUUGAGCUGGCUUGAGGAGUCUCACUAGAAAGCAGAGAAUCCCUGGGAUAACAAGCAAGACAGACGCAUAGUACAGCUGGGAUGAAGUGCUGGUAAGGGCACCUGUGUAGAGCCUGUUGCCUCAACAAUGUCCAGGACAAAAAGCACCUGUUUCUUCAUCCUAAAUGAAGCAGGAGGAUCACUUACCCUGGCUGUUUCCCAGAAUGAUCAUUAAGAGAGUUGUGAAAGCACUUUGAAGCAAUUUAAAAGCUAACUCACUGCAAAACUGAAGGUGGUUGAUGCUAUUCUAGACCUGAAUAUGAAGCAAUACCAGGAAAACAGAGAACUAAGAAUAGAUCACAGAGAGCAUCUAGAAGGCCUCAGGAAGUCCCUGCACUGAUGUGGCAGUUCUGUUGUUACAUUAACUAAGAAAAAAAUCAACACAGAUGCCAAAGAAAGUAGAGUAUAUUUGGGAAAAAAAGAAUUGCAAUUCAGGUACACUGAAUUAGGGCAACACUAAAUAGUGUCCUUUAAGGCAAGUUCAGGUUUUUAAUAGGAGAUUUCUUGAAAAAGUUGUUUUGAGGGGCAAUUCACUGGCUGGACAGAAAUCCUAAAUUGCAGAGCUGUUCUGAAUUGUUAGUUAAUUAGGGUACUCCCAGCUGAGAGAUGUUGAAGUCCAGUGGAUUCUGACUUAAGGUGUUAUCCAAGUCUGUUGGAACCUUCUGUGGCUUAACAUUUAGCAGGUAUGAGUGCAGUCCUCUCUUGAUCUUCCAAUUCCACUUUAAUGCCUAGGCCUAAAUUACUUUAUG